UCGAGGAUCGUCUAAUGGUAGGACGCCAGGUUCUGGCCCUGGUAAUCAUGGUUCGAAUCCAUGUCCUCGAG
rfam:Parcubacteria bacterium GW2011_GWA2_43_13 TV70_C0011, whole genome shotgun sequence.